AUGGCGUGGUGGUUAGCCACGCACUUGAGGCGGGCCGAGGUAGCAAGUUCGAUCCCCGCGGGGCGACCUUCAGGCGAGCCACCGGAUGGAGGCCUGGAGCGGCGCCCUAGGCCCUCCCCGUGGUGCGUCCGCCCGGCAUCUGGUACUCCGGCGGCGCGGCCGACGGCCUGGAGGAGAGCAGCCGGCCAUCAGAGAGGGCGGCGGCGGCGACCACGAAUGGGUUCAUCCCCUCCUGAUUUGAUUUCAAUCGUUGAAUCGGCUGGGUGCACUGGUCAAUCUAGCAUAAAGGGCUUUCCACCUCAGCCGGCUUACUUCGUCUUCCCCACACCAAGUUUCAUCUGUGGAUUCCGAGGGGAGUCAAAACUUAAUCCUAGCUCAGGUCUAAUUGCCCCUCAAGAAAAAAACCUCAGAUGCAAGUGGAAGUUUGCUAUGUGUCCGCCAUCUUUGGCACCGUCUGCAAGCGCUAAUUGCAAGAUUAACAACCUCCGCGUCCGUGAGUUCAUUGCCUGCUGUGCCAGGUUGCUUUGUAGAAUUUCUCAUCUGAGUUCCUCUUUCUUGACGCCUCUUCAUCUCUGCUUCUUGGUUCUGCACACGAACUCCAGUUUUGAGGAUAAGAUAUUCAGCACAAGAGAUGCAAUGGACACAAAUCGUUUUCCCUACAACUGUUUCAGGCGCAUCCCAGGUGGCAAUGCGCUGCGCAAGGCCUUCCGCGAUAGCUAUCUUCACAUAUCAACCUUUAAGUUCUUAAGUACAAUGGCUGCUGCACCAUCAUCCUCAUGGAUCAUCCCAAGAAUUAGUCACCUCUUCGUCUAUCCUGGAGCUUUGGGAUUCACCUUCCCGGUGGACCGCGUUGAGUGCAUAGGCGAAGUGUUCUUCCUCAUCUGGCCUGGCAUCCACUUCUCUGCGGGCUACGGCCGCCGACCCCCUGGGCGCAGCCUCACGUGUAGUUCGACUCCUCCGCUACGACCUGAUCCUCUCCGACUCGCGGCAGCACAGCAGGGGGAACCCGAUCUGGAUGCUCCAGCUCCCCAAGACGACGUUCUGCUCCUAGGCUCAGCACACCGCCGUAACGGACACAGCCCACGCAACGUACGAACUGGGCCCACAGCCACCACUGUGCACGCCCGUAUAGCAGUGAAAAGUAAGUGGUGGCAAAAAAUAAAAAUAAAAACCCUUCUCCCCCGAUUUUCUUCCGCCCCCCGACGUUCGCCGGCCGUCUCCGGCACCGCCCUCCACUGGCGCGGCUCUGCUCCGGCAUCCUCCGUCGAAUUCCCAGCUUUGCUAUGCCCUUCCGGCCCCACCCGAGGCUCCGGCGGCAAUCCUAGGUCCCUUGGGUCCCCGUCCCGGCGACGCGUCUCUGCCUCUUCUACCUUCUCCCUUGGCCAGGACAAGCCAACAAGGAAGGGAGCAAACCAGGAAAGCAGAUCGGCGACGGCGAGCGCAGUUGCUGGAAAAUCAUCGACAACCACUAUUGAUUACGCCGCCGCCGCUAGUAUGGGAGCGUCGCAGCCCAACAAAGAAGAUGAGGGGAAGACUAUGACUGUGGACAAGGAGAUGAAGAAGAUUUUCCGGGUGCCGCAGGACAGGCUGGAUUAUUACCUUUCCUUCAAAGCGAGCCCUGUUGGGCAGAGUCAGGCUCUACGGGAUCCUUCGGCCGCCGCCGAGUUGGACAAAAUCAUUGUACAAAUCCAGGCCGAGCAGGAGAAGAUGAGACGAGAGUACGAGGCCAAGGGCUACGCCACAUUUGAAGCAGAUGUCGCCGGCGACGAGGAAGAGGAAGAUGCAGCAGCAGGCGCAAUAGCUCCUUGUAUUAUUCAGCAAGGAGAGGAGAAAGAGGAAGAUACAACAUCUCCUUGUAUUACUCCGCAAGGAGACCAGGAUCUAGCAGCUCCUUGGUUUAUUCCACAUAGGGGCCGAAGAAGGUUUCGCCCAGGGGUCGUCAAGCAAGCAGGAGGCGUUAAGAAACUACCCAAGGAUCCUCACCCGAUGGUGAACCGUGGGCGGUGGCAGUGGUGGAAGGUCAAGAGUACAGGAAAAGCGGUGGGCAAGAGUAGAGCAGCGGACAACACAUAUGCUUGCAAUAGUCAAAGGUUAUAUGAUCAACAUUAUUGCGCAUCCAGCGUGUCAUAUGUCCGGGCAAAAGUAUCGCAUGAAGAGAGAGGAGACUGCACUUACGUCGAGGGGCGGUGGCAGCAGGACGCGACCAAGAGGCACAGUGGGUGCUACAGUGGGUGGCAGCAGGACACUCUGCAAAUUGAAAUGUGA
rnacentral:rRNA from 1 species